AGACGGUCUCACUUAUUACUCUAAAAAUUCUAAAGUGCGCUAGUGUUAGCUAUUCCAAUGAAACAUUUUGUCCCACAACACCUCACAUAAAGGGAUGAGUAAUAUUAAGACCAAGUCAUAAUAUGAAGAUAGGGAAAAGGGAUUUGGUUCUAUGAGGGAAAACAACGCUAACAAAACCUAGACACAAUGAAUAAAAAGAAUAUAUAUACUUAAAUUUAGCGUGAUAUAAAUUAUAUUACAGAACAUAACAGGGAUCAGAAGCAUCUUCCUUCUCCUAGAUCAAUUUAUGAAUCUUUGACAUAAGUUGUGGUAUAGCUGCAUUUACCUUAUUUAUCCUGUUCAGUAUACUAAUAAGUUCCAUUUAAAAUGCAUUUAGCCAUCCAAUAUCUAUUUGUGCCCAAGUAGAAGCUAAGUGAACCCAUGGAUCUGUAAUCUGAAAUUUUAGAUUCUCAAUUAUCUGGAUUGACAAAAUGUACAGUUUACUGACUAUGAGCUUCACCAGAAUUAAUCUGCAUGCGGUAACCAUACAAAAGAACCUAAAUUUUUUGCUUUGCU
rnacentral:misc_RNA from 1 species